AAUUACUCAAAAGAUUAGUCUUCUUAGGUGUAAACUAAGAAUUGUCUGUCCUUUGAAAAACGUCUACUGUGAUUGGUAGAUGAGAGAACUUAGGGGAGGUGACAUAGGAGAAAAUUCCCUAUAUAAGGACAGAACCAGUCUCUUGAUGAGAGGCAGAAGAAUCCCUCUAAGGAGAAGGAUGGCUGGCUGAACUGGUGUCUAUAUUCUUGCUUGGACAGAUCUUGUGAAAAACUCUGGCAUUCUUGGCAGAUGAACAAUGAUCAAGAAAACCAAAGACAGACUACAAUAAGUUACUUCUUCAACCCACCAUAGAAGUACAGAAAAAUCAGCCAAGGUCUCCCACCAGCAAAGCCCAUGCCAGUAGCAGUACCUCUCAACAGUGCCCGAAAUGGUUUCAUGCAGAUACAGGAUUGAACUGCUGGUCCAAAGAGGUAUAAGAAUACUCUACACUUUCUCUAACUUCACUGACCUUGGUCCCUUACUAGGAAGAGAUGGAGAAAGGAAGAAGGCUGACUCCCAGAUGCUUACUGCUUGUUUACUUCAAACUUACACUGGAAAUUCACAGUUACUUGAAUAAAACAAAAUGAGCCAGGUGCUACAGACAAGAUGGCAUUCCUUUGAUUAGUUUCCACAGAAUAAAGACUAUAAGACAGAAAUAAA
ensembl:lncRNA